GCAUGGCCCGGUGUGAAAAACUCCGGUGGUAUGAGAUGGACCCGCGUCUGAUUAGCUGGUUGGAGGGGUAACGGCCCACCAAGGCGACGAUCAGUAGCCGGCCUGAGAGGGUGAACGGCCACAUUGGGACUGAGACACGGCCCAGGCUCCUACGGGAGGCAGCAGUGGGGAAUAUUGCACAAUGGGGGAAACCCUGAUGCAGCGACGCCGCGUGAAGGAAGAAGUAUCUCGGUAUGUAAACUUCUAUCAGCAGGGAAGAAAAUGACGGUACCUGACUAAGAAGCCCCGGCUAACUACGUGCCAGCAGCCGCGGUAAUACGUAGGGGGCAAGCGUUAUCCGGAUUUACUGGGUGUAAAGGGAGCGUAGACGGAAGAGCAAGUCUGAUGUGAAAGGCUGGGGCUUAACCCCAGGACUGCAUUGGAAACUGUUUUUCUAGAGUGCCGGAGAGGUAAGCGGAAUUCCUAGUGUAGCGGUGAAAUGCAUAGAUAUUAGGAGGAACACCAGUGGCGAAGGCGGCUUACUGGACGGUAACUGACGUUGAGGCUCGAAAGCGUGGGGA
rnacentral:rRNA from 1 species